UACGUAGGGGGCUAGCAUUGUCCGGAAUCAUUGGGCGUAAAGCGCGUGUAGGCGGUCCGGUAAGUCCGCUGUGAAAGUCGGGGGGCUCAACCCUCGGAUGCCGGUGGAUACUGUCGGGCUUGAGUACGGAAGAGGCGAGUGGAAUUCCUGGUGUAGCGGUGAAAUGCGCAGAUAUCAGGAGGAACACCAAUUGCGAAGGCAGCUCGCUGGGACGUUACUGACGCUGAGACGCGAAAGCGUGGGGAGCAAACAGG
rnacentral:rRNA from 1 species